GAACCACCACUGCGCCUACACGUGGUACCUGGGAUCAGGCUGCGGUGCCAGAGCACAUGCUUGUGCAGAACUGGGGCCAACUGUUCCCCACUGGCGGUCCUUUCAACCGCGAGCAACAGGG